rnacentral:rRNA from 1 species
UACCAGCACCCCGAGUGGUCGGGACGUUUAUUGGGCCUAAAGCAUCCGUAGCCGGUUCUACAAGUCUUCCGUUAAAUCCAACUGCUUAACAGGUGGGCUGCGGAAGAUACUAUAGAGCUAGGAGGCGGGAGAGGCAAGCGGUACUCGAUGGGUAGGGGUAAAAUCCGUUGAUCCAUUGAAGACCACCAGUGGCGAAGGCGGCUUGCCAGAACGCGCUCGACGGUGAGGGGUGAAAGCUGGGGGAGCAAACCGG